rnacentral:rRNA from 1 species
AGUCAAUAGAUACCCGGGUAGUCCCAGCUGUAAACGAUGCGCGUCAGGUGUAUCGGUGACCACGAGUCACCGAGGUGCCGAAGGGAAACCGUGAAACGUGCCGCCUGGGAAGUACGGUCGCAAGGCUGAAACUUAAAGGAAUUGGCGGGGGAGCACCACAACAGGUGGAGCCUGCGGUUUAAUCGGACUCAACGCCGGGAAGCUCACCGGAUAAGACAGCUGAAUGAUAGCCGGGUUGAAGACUCUGCUUGACUAGCUGAGAGGAGGUGCAUGGCCGUCGUCAGUUCGUACUGUGAAGCAUCCUGUUAAGUCAGGCAACGAGCGAGACCCACGCCAACAGUUGCCAGCAUGUCCUCCGGGAUGGUGGGGACACUGUUGGGACCGCCUCUGCUAAAGAGGAGGAAGGAAUGGGCAACGGUAGGUCAGCAUGCCCCGAAUUAUCCGGGCUACACGCGGGCUACAAUGGUCAGGACAAUGGGUAUCAACACCGAAAGGUGAAGGCAAUCU